rnacentral:tRNA from 1 species
GAGAAAAUUACUGAGUGGUCAAAAGUAUUUGAUUGUAAAUCAAACGUUAAGUCAUGCGUAGGUUCGAAUCCUGCUUUUCUCA